AUGUUAAUCAGCAGUCCAUUUUUAAAAGACGUUCUCUGUCCUACCAAAAGGGAAAACCGAGGGAAGCACCGGGAAAGGAGAACUGCUGCGUCUCCAAUGUUUGAAAAGAUGCCUCAGUUCGCCCGACUGCGAGGGGCACUUGUCUCGAGGGCGAGGGCUGAGGAUUUAGAAAAUACAAUGGCGCCGGUGGUUUCUAGACACGCCUUCCACGGAGCUAAAGCGACUGCGGCGACAAGAAACCAGCGAGAGGCCAAGCGGGAUAGGCAGACGCUUUACCAUCUGAGCCACCAGGGAAGUCCAGUCAGCAAUAAAAGGCAAGGGGAAUACCCACGGGAAUACCCACCCAACCCCUACCCCGGAGAACAACUUUCUUGUUUUCUAAAGACUCAAGAAAUUUGCAGUUCCCAGCGCCGUUCUGCUGCCCACCUUCCCCAAGCUGAUCUCUGGAAUGAUGACUGCACAAAAGUUCAGCUCCCUCCUCUCUGCACAGCAGCCAACUCACACUGUACGAAAAACCCACAGAGAGGAUGCAGCUCAGCUCCAUUAUGCAAAAAAGAGGUCAUUGUUUUUUAG
rnacentral:lncRNA from 1 species